rnacentral:tRNA from 1 species
UGGAGGGGUGGCCGAGUGGUUUAAGGCGGCGGUCUUGAAAACCGCUGUAGGGGUAACUCUACCGGGGGUUCGAAUCCCUCCCCCUCCGUUUA